UACGUAGGGUGCAAGCGUUGUCCGGAAUUAUUGGGCGUAAAGAGCUCGUAGGCGGUUUGUCGCGUCUGCUGUGAAAACCCGAGGCUCAACCUCGGGCCUGCAGUGGGUACGGGCAGACUUGAGUUCGGUAGGGGAGACUGGAAUUCCUGGUGUAGCGGUGAAAUGCGCAGAUAUCAGGAGGAACACCGGUGGCGAAGGCGGGUCUCUGGGCCGAUACUGACGCUGAGGAGCGAAAGCGUGGGGAGCGAACAGG
rnacentral:rRNA from 1 species